UCCUGAUGUGAGAGGGGUAAGGAAAAACAGGAAAAGGAGGAGCCUGGUUGAGAUGAGAUAAGGAACCAGUCUGUGACUGUCAGUAGAACCAGUGGCUCUGGCGCAGAAGGCUUCAUGCCCUAUAACUUCAGUGGCACCUUGGCUGGAGCCUCUGUUUCUGUGUUUUAUUGGAGUUGGCUGCAUUGCGAGGCAGGGUGCGAUGUUGGUGUGUGUCUCCUCUGCAGCCUGGGAAACCACAGCACUAAUUCUCUGCGCGGCCACAGAAGCCGGUACGAAGCCACAGCGAGAAUCUGUAUGCUACUGGCUGUGUCACCACUGCUGUCUUCCAGGAACAGAAGGGGCUGCUUCUAUCUACAGCUGCUCUGGCCCUCCUCUUUGACCAGAAAGCCCUGGUUGAUGUGAUGUCCAUCAGUCUGUUGGCCUACUGUUGGUCAAAGGGAGCUGCAGGCGCCCAGGCCAGGCCUGCCUGGCUCCCUCCUGCCCUCUCCUGACGGGCAUGCAGCUGAUCACUCUGGCAUGAGCCUCUGCACCUCUCACCCAAUGUCUAACAUUGGGUAGAGAAGAGUGUGCUGCUCUGGGCUCUGCUUGCUGAGCACCACAGGGCUGCUCGUGUGUCGCUGGCCUGGCUCUCAUGGGGAUCCUGGAGACCACCCUGCUCAUCCAGAGGCAGCUGCAGAGCCAGGAGAGGGCAUCCUUCAUGCUGAGCAAGAGGCCUAGUGUCCAGGGGCCUUCCCAAAGGAGAGUGAUGUUAGGGACAGAAACAAGUGCCACGUCCUUCUGGGAAAAAGGGUUGUAUUGCAUGGCAUGAGGGCUGCUCUCUUCUAGGAUCAGGCCCUUCAAGAAGCACAGCCAGCUGCGGGUGCUGAAUGCCAUGGCCCUUGGCUGGCACAGCUGCUGGUCCUUCUUGUGCCUUCAUACCUGCUGCUGAGAUGGAGAGGAUGGGCA